GCAAAUUCCGGCUGGGACAACAAUCGGAUUUUGGACUCCGGCAAAGGGAUAAAUUUGGAUUGGGGAGGGGGGCUCAGCUCCCUGACAGACAACUGCUGGAUAAUUGAAGGGGAAAGGAUUUAAAGGAGGAUCCUGAUUUAACACCCAACUUCCAUCCCAGUGAAAUCACAACCCCGGGAAGAAAAUUCAUCUGAAAAUUAAAGGUCCAUCCAGCUUUUAUGGAACAGGAAAACAUCUGGAUCAUGCAAUUAUAAAUUACUUCAUAUAUGGAAAUAUUUAUAUUAGGAUACAGCUACGUUUACCAUUUACAUCAAGGUGAAUUCCCAAAACCUCAGGUAAUUUCUGUGUUUUAAGUGAAAUUUCACAGGAAUUCAAUUGAUCUCCAGCACUGAUUUAACCAAGGAAAUAAAUUAUUGGGACACCUUUCCCAUCCCUGGGAGUGUCCAAGGCCAGCCUGGAGAGGGUUUGGAGCACCCUGGGAGAGUGGAAGGUGUCCCUGCCCAUGGCAUGGGGUGGGAUGGGAUUUAAGGUCCCUCCCCACCCAAAUCAUCCUGGAAUUCUAGGAAAACACAGGAGGAGCAAAAAAGUCAAGGCAUUGGGAGUUCACUUUUAGACAUCCAAGUUUCUGACAUGGAUCAAUCCAGAAUGUCCAGCCCUGCAGCCAAACCAGUGCUGGAGUUACAAACACAGCUCAUUCCCACUGGUUUGGCUGCUCCAUGACUGGAGAAGACACUAAAAUAAACUGUUGAAAGGAAAACACUCCAUCAGCCUAGCUCAUGCUCAAGUUCCUGUUCAGCCCUAAUUAAGUGGGAAAACCCCAACAUCAGGUUAUGCUAAAAAUGACUUUUAAUUCAACUUUUUCAAAAAAUUUAUUUAA